GUCUAUGGCCAUGCUAUCCUGAACAAGCCCGAUCCCAUCUGAUCUCGGAAGUUAGGCAGGGCCUGGUUAGUAUUUGGAUGGGAGACCACCUAGGAAGACCAGGUGCUGUAGGCG
rnacentral:rRNA from 1 species